UCUCCAACUCGAAAUGUUAAGAAAGUAACCUAUACCUUUCACAGUUUUCGACCACACUUUGUGCGCCUACCGACGCGGCAAACACUUUUGCGGUUGGAAGGGUGAUGCUGGAGGUCCAUUAGUGAUAGAAUCGGACAAUGCCAACAGUCAGCAACCUCGCAACCAGAAAUGCCAGUGGAUUCAAGUCGCCAUCGCCAGCUGGGGAAAUUGUGGCCAGCAUGACAAAGCUGACCUUUACACUCGAGUGACGUCGUUCCUGCCCUGGAUCAAGAAAGAAAUGAUGACGUAAUUAUUAGGUUAAUCAAAGUUUUUGAUUUGAUGAGUGCUCCCCCUAUGAAAUCUUCCAAAAUUCAAAAAGAAUUCCCAAUUUCACACAUUUGCAACAAUUCAUCUGCUUCUUUCUCAUCUGUUGUGUAUCAGCAACUAUCGUUGAGAUCCUUCAAAUAAAUCAAGCAAAGUUC